AUUUCUCAGGUUUUUCCAGGCAGUAAGUGUUUAAAAAACAAGAUGAGAGGACCAACAACCCAACAAACCCAACAAGAACGACCAAUUUAACCACUAACACAAGCUCUAAUCACUGAGGCACAUAAAUAAAAUAAGGGAUACCAGAAAGAUGUGUAAAUCCAUAAUGGCACCUAAAAAACUACGAAAAAAAAAAGAAA